rnacentral:rRNA from 1 species
AACGUAGGUGGCGAGCGUUAUCCGGAUUUACUGGGCGUAAAGCGUGUGCAGGCGGAUUGACAAGUGGUGUAUGAAAUCGCUCGGCUAAACCGGGCGGGGUUAUGCCAGACUGUCAAUCUGGAGUGCGAGAGAGGGGCGUGGAAUUCCGGGUGUAGUGGUGAAAUGCGCAGAUAUCAGGAGGAACACCGGUGGCGAAGGCGGGUCUCUGGGCCGAUACUGACGCUGAGGAGCGAAAGCGUGGGGAGCGAACAGG